GACGAACGCUGGCGGCGUGCUUAACACAUGCAAGUCGAACGGAAAGGCCCUGCUUUUGUGGGGUGCUCGAGUGGCGAACGGGUGAGUAACACGUGAGUAACCUGCCCUUGACUUUGGGAUAACUUCAGGAAACUGGGGCUAAUACCGGAUAGGAGCUCCUGCUGCAUGGUGGGGGUUGGAAAGUUUCGGCGGUUGGGGAUGGACUCGCGGCUUAUCAGCUUGUUGGUGGGGUAGUGGCUUACCAAGGCUUUGACGGGUGGCCGGCCUGAGAGGGUGACCGGCCACAUUGGGACUGAGAUACGGCCCAGACUCCUACGGGAGGCAGCAGUGGGGAAUAUUGCACAAUGGGCGGAAGCCUGAUGCAGCAACGCCGCGUGCGGGAUGACGGCCUUCGGGUUGUAAACCGCUUUCGCCUGUGACGAAGCGUGAGUGACGGUAAUGGGUAAAGAAGCGCCGGCUAACUACGUG
rnacentral:rRNA from 1 species